GGGGCCAUCCCGGCUUACCAACCCGAUGCAAACUUCGAAAACCCGAGAAWGUUAUCACGGGAGACACACGGCGGGUGCUAACGUCCGUCGUGAAGAGGGAAACAACCCAGACCGCCAGCUAAGGUCCCAAAGUCAUGGUUAAGUGGGAAACGAUGUGGGAAGGCCCAGACAGCCAGGAUGUUGGCUUAGAAGCAGCCAUCAUUUAAAGAAAGCGUAAUAGCUCACUGGUCGAGUCGGCCUGCGCGGAAGAUGUAACGGGGCUAAACCAUGCACCGAAGCUGCGGCAGCGAACGUAUCACUUAAAGCGAUUCAGCGGGUUACGAUUGACGGAGCGAAGCGACGUCAAAGCGUAUACAAAGUCGAGUCGGUUUAAGGAUACGUUCGUUGGGUAGGGGAGCGUUCUGUAAGCCCGUGAAGGUGGCCUGUGAGGGUUGCUGGAGGUAUCAGAAGUGCGAAUGCUGACAUAAGUAACGAUAAAGCGGGUGAAAAGCCCGCUCGCCGGAAGACCAAGGGUUCCUGUCCAACGUUAAUCGGGGCAGGGUGAGUCGACCCCUAAGGCGAGGCCGAAAGGCGUAGUCGAUGGGAAACGGGUUAAUAUUCCCGUACUUGGUGUUACUGCGAAGGGGGGACGGAGAAGGCUAUGUUGGCCGGGCGACGGUUGUCCCGGUUUAAGCGUGUAGGUGUGUGUUCCAGGUAAAUCCGGUUCACUUUAACACUGAGGCGUGAUGACGAGGCACUACGGUGCUGAAGCAACAAAUGCCCUGCUUCCAGGAAAAGCCUCUAAGCAUCAGGUAACAUCAAAUCGUACCCCAAACCGACACAGGUGGUCAGGUAGAGAAUACCAAGGCGCUUGAGAGAACUCGGGUGAAGGAACUAGGCAAAAUGGUGCCGUAACUUCGGGAGAAGGCACGCUGACACGUAGGUGAAGUGAUUUACUCACGGAGCUGAAGUCAGUCGAAGAUACCAGCUGGCUGCAACUGUUUAUUAAAAACACAGCACUGUGCAAACACGAAAGUGGACGUAUACGGUGUGACGCCUGCCCGGUGCCGGAAGGUUAAUUGAUGGGGUCAGCGCAAGCGAAGCUCCUGAUCGAAGCCCCGGUAAACGGCGGCCGUAACUAUAACGGUCCUAAGGUAGCGAAAUUCCUUGUCGGGUAAGUUCCGACCUGCACGAAUGGCGUAAUGAUGGCCAGGCUGUCUCCACCCGAGACUCAGUGAAAUUGAACUCGCUGUGAAGAUGCAGUGUACCCGCGGCAAGACGGAAAGACCCCGUGAACCUUUACUAUAGCUUGACACUGAACAUUGAGCCUUGAUGUGUAGGAUAG
rnacentral:rRNA from 1 species